ensembl:processed_transcript C430002N11Rik RIKEN cDNA C430002N11 gene
AAGCCAGUAAGCAACACUCCCCAACAGCCUCUGCUUCAGCUCCUGCCUCCAGGCUUCUGCCUUGAGCUCCUGAUCUGGCUUUUCUCAGUGAUGGACUGUAACUGAUCUGCGGCGACCCCUGUGGAAGGAUUGUUUGACCAUCCCAAAGGGAUCAAGGCUCACAGGUUGAGAACCACUGCUCCAGCCCCUGCAGCUGUUUUUAUUGCAGGCAUUGAAUGAGCUUCGGCUUGAAUGUCAGACUCCCGUUCCACUUCAUAUGUCAGCAUGUCAGUCAUUCGAGGAGUGUCUACAAGCAAGUGACAGAAGGAGGUUCAGCCCUAACUUAUCUAACCCUCUUCAGGCUGAAGACAAAAAGAUAAGACUAAGUAGGAACAUGCUGCGUAAAACAUUGUGGGAUUAGUGAGCAUCUGGGCAUCUUAAAAUUUAACUGGCAAUUGACUCUAAUUUCAACAGACGAAGACCCACCCUUCAUCCAGCUCUCCAGGAAUAACAGUAAUUGGAGGUAGAAUAAAGCAUUAGUCACAGACAGCUCCUGCUUAGGCUCUGAAACCUGUAAGGCAUCUGGAGAAUGCUGGAGUCUGGCUUCCUUGAACUGAGAACAUCAAAGGCAGUGAGAAAGACUUAGAGGUACCUCAUCCUCUGUCAGCCUGCGUCAUCAUCCAAGUCUGAGGGUUCUGCAGGCAGAGAGCCAGGCUGCACGCCACGAACCCGUGGCUACCGACUCACUUCUAACUUUUCUGAGUCCAGAGGUCUCCUUUUGAUCAAGAAGGCUUUAAAUAAUAAGAAAAUGGAACCCUGACACUAUUAGGUCGUUCUGGCUAUUGCGUCUAGCCUUUUGCUGCUAGCAGGUUACAACUUGAAACAACAAAAAGAAACCACAUACUCAACUUAAAUAAUGGUAACAAAAUUGAGUAGGAGGGAGAAAAGGAAACUAUGUAAUAAAGAGAGCGGGAGUAACAAGGACACACCCUCCCCACCCCACCCCCACCCUGACCCUAGCCAGUGAUCCAUCCUUACUCCAAUGGUGUCAGGCUCCGUUUUCAAGGAUAGGCAUAGAGAAAAAUCUCCCAAUAGCAGGCUGUGGCGCUAAUACCCAGGACUGUACAAACCGCCAUUGCUCAGAACAGUUAAAGCAGUCUCUAGAAUGGCCUUGACAGGCAAGUAUUUUGAAGGGCCCUGUCAAUUUCAGCCAUGCAGCAGUUUCAUGAAGCUCUAGUGAGCCCUGAGCAGCAAUGUAGCAAGGGAGACAACAGGAGUUCCUGGAGAGGGAUGGCUUCCGCAUAUAGAAAUCUCAGCAGUGUUCAGAACCCAGUAGAGGGGAGUGAUUUAGACUUGGAGGGUGGGGGUGAGAGGACUCUACGUAGUACUUACAAGCUUUUACCUGGGCAUAUUUUAAAAAAAUUUCUCUUGUGUGUAGAAUUAGGGGAGGAAUUGCUGGUCACGUGGGAAGUUUAUCAUUCUCAAGACCUGCUGCACUCUUUUCCCAACUGGCUGCACUGUUUUAAAACCCCACGUGCAGAGUAUGAGCCUUCCAGUCUCCUCAUCCUCGUCCAUGGUUGUUACUAUCUGUCCUUUUAUUGCCGCCACCCUAGAAGGAUGUGACAUGUUCUUGUGAUUUUGAUUGGCAUUCCCCUGGCGAUUAAUAACUUGAGCAUCUUUUC